ensembl:lncRNA
ACCGUCCAAAGGCUUUACUUUUUAUUGAUAUAAAGUUUUCACAGUUCAUACAGUGCACAGACCAGUUUAAUGUUUAGUUUCACCCAAGUCUCAUUUUGGAACCUGUAGACUUGCUUACUUGCUCCUUCCAUCUACAGAGAGUUCUUUUCUUUUAUAAACAUGUCUAGCACUUUUCCACUCACUUGGGAUUUAGCACACUUAGACUUUUCAUGAUAAUUUUGUUGCAGGAAGGGGGCACCCUUCCAGGGCCCAAAACUGGGCUCUUGUCUAACACUUGGAAAUGAAUUGUCCGAGGAGACACAUGUGCUGACAAAGCAAGAGAUUUUAUUGGGAAAGGGCACCCGGCUGGAGAGUAGUAGGGUAAGGGAAGCCAGGAGAACUGUUCUGUCAAAUGGCUUGCAGUCUUGGGUUUUAUGGUGAUGGGAUUAGUUUCCGGGUUGUCCUUAGCCAAUCAUUCUGACUCAGAGUCCUUCCUGGUGGUUCACUCCUUGUUCAGCCAAGAUGGAUGCCAGAGAGAAGGAUUCUGGGGGGGUGGUCAGACAGGUGGUGUCUCCUUUUGACCUUUCCCGAACUCUUCUGGUUGGUGGAGGCUUAUUAGUUCCCUGUUCCUUACCAGGACCUGCUCUCCUUAAACAACUCAUGCAAAUGUUUACUAUGGUGCCUGGCCAGGGUGGGUGGUUCCAAUCAGUGUGCUUCCCCUAACAGUUUCAUUUUGUAUGCAUAGAUUCAUGUAAUCUCACCAGCUAGAUGUAUAUGUUUAUUAACAGGAAACUGUCUUCUUGGGUACCCAAGUGAUGCUAGUGGUAAAGAAGUAGCCUGCAAAUGCAGGAGACUUAAUAAGAGAUCUGGGUUCGAUCCCUGGGUUGGGAAGAUCCCCUGGAGAAGGAAAUGGCAACCCACUCCAGUAUUCUUGCCUGGAGAAUCCUAUGGACAGAGGGAUCCGGUGGGCUAAAGUUCAUGGUGUCGCCCGCAAAAGGUCAGACAUGACUGAAGCGACUUAGCACUCACCAUGUACUUUUUCCUAGAGUCAUAAUGAUUAAUUUGGGGACUGACGUAGUUGUUACUCAGUUAUUAAUUGAUGAAUGAUUCUUUUAAUUUUGGCUUAGGCUGUUGUUUUCUUCACAGCCAGCAUAAGUUGCAGUAAAAACCACACGGUACAAUGUAUGGAGAAUUGUGAGUUGUAAUUCAUUCACAUUUUUACCUCUAGAUGAAAUGCCGAGUGUCCCUUUAAAUAAGAAAUUGAUAAAGACUAGGUUUUAAGGAGGCCUCUCCUCCCCCAAGGGGCAGGCUUCCUUUCAGAGGAGAUCCCCUUAGAUAGCUGCUGAGGUUGCCUAGGCAAACCUUUGCAUAUACAAAUUUCAGUCAAUGUGUUGACAGGAUGUCAGAUUUGUGUGGCUAAUGGAGCUUCUGCAUGAAUAUUGAGCUUUCUGCCAUUCCAUUGAUGCCCAAAUGAAUCUGUAGGUGCCUAUUUGUGCCUCAGGCUGAGUCAAAAAUAGAAGCCCUUCACAGGAGAACCUGACCAAGGUCUACAACCCAUCCUUGUCCUAUCAUAAUUGGUUUUCAGCAACAAUUGAAAAGUAAAUUCAAAGUGAUCUGAUUGACAGAGCACUGAUAUCUUUCCAUCAGAUAGUGUGGAAUCUCAUGUUGCCAUUAUCUUGCCCCAUAGACUUUGCCCAUAAGCAUUUUAGGAAUCUCUGCAUGGCAUGAAUCAACAAAGAAUUGAGUAACAAAGAAUGAAUCUAAUCAGCUGAUUUGGAGAGACCAAGUCUUUUGUAUUACAAGAGUUCUAAAAAUAUUAUUUAAUUUAUUAAAACAUAAAUUUCAAUGUGAAUAACGAUAAAUGUGACAACCCUUUUUAAAAAUAAAAAUUGCUCUCUAAAAUUACAUUUCAGGUCCAUAGAAAUUUUAUUUGAUAUUGGACACAGUAAAUUGCAGAUAACUGUUAUAUUCUUCGAGAAAUGGGGAUGUGAAUUAAACAGCAUUUACCAUAAACCUUCAUUUUAACAUCUUAAUGUUCUAUUACCUAUCAUUGUAUUUUUUCUCUUGCUUUGGCUCAGUCGCUUCAAUCCUGUCUGACUCUUUGUGACCCUAUAGACCAUGGACCACCAGGCUCUUCUGUCCCCAGGAUUCUCCAGUCAAGAAUACUGGAGUGGAUUGCCAUGCCCUCCUCUCAGGGAUCUUCCCGACCGAAGAAUUGAACCCUGCAUCUCUUAUGUCUUCUGCAUUGGCAAGUGAAUUAUACCAUUAGCAGAGAAACUAGAGUGAAG